GUAUCGGACCACUAAAAAUCACUGACUAAAUGCUGACUGUGCCACAGAGGAUGGAUGGUGAAUUAUUCACAGAUUCAGAGCAGGAUUGGAGCAGCUCAUCAGAAUCUGACUGGAUGAGUGAGACGGGAAAAAGGAAAGGAAAACAAGGGGUAAAAAGAAAGAUGGAUCAACAAAAUGGUAAAACAAAGAAAAUAGCCAGAACUAAAAACUCUAGGCUUCCAGGGGUAGACCUAACAGAUGUCUUUCAAGAGGUCAGGAAAAAGGACCAGCUGGCUGUCCAUUGUGGAAAAAUUGCAGGUCACCUGUACAGAAUAAAAUAUGACAAUGGAGAGAAGUGUAUUUUAUGUAAAGGGAAAUGGUUUACGCCCAGUAUGUUUGAGAAGUUUGGAGGAAAAGGGCAUCACAAGAAGUGGAAGAGUAGCAUCUAUUACAAGCCAUCAAAUGGCUUUCAACCAUUUAAAUUACUGGAACUCAUACAAAAUGGGUGUCUUUCAGAAUUUGGACAAAUGAGGGAGUCAAAUAGAGAGGCGACACCAAAAAGAUUGUUUUCCAGGACUCCGAAAACACCUGUAUGUGGAAUUGAAGAGGAAACAAUCCAGCUGGACAGUUCUUCAGAUGAGUCUGUAUCUGCUGCUGAAAGAGUCAAAACGGUGACACAGACAGAGUCCCAUAAAAGAUUGUUUUCCAAGACUCUGGAAAAACCUGAAUGUAGAAUUGAAGAGGAAACAAUCCAGCUGGACAGUUCUUCAGAUGAGUCUGUAUCUGUUGCUGUAAGAGUCAAAAAGAACAGGAGAGAAUCUACUGCCAAUGACAGAUACAGUUUUUCAGAUGAGUCUGUAUCUGUUGCUGAAAGAGUCAAAAUGAACAGGAGAGAAUCUGUAACUGUAACUGAAACUCUCACUGAAAAGAUCACAGAACCAGUAGAAUCUACUGCUAGUGCUAGAGAUUCACCUGCACCUCCCACUGAUGAUACAGAACCUGCAGUAUCAAGGCAACUGAGGGAGUCAAUUAGAGAGGUGACACAGACAGAGUCCUGGAAAAGAUUGUUUUCCAAGAGUCUGGAAAUACCUGUUUGUCGAAUUGAACAGGAAACUUUCCAGCUGGACAGAUCUUCAGAUGAGUCUGUAUCUGUUGCUGAAAAAGUCAAAAUGGCACAGAACAGUAAAAAGAUCACAGAACGGGUAAAAUCUACUGCCAAUGCUAGAGAUUCAUCUGUACCUCUCACUGAUGCUACAGAACCUGCAGUAUCUCCAGUCGUAGAGGAGGCAGAUCAGACCACAGAUGAAGCAGCAGCAGCUCUGCUGAACUUCAGUGAUUCUCCCACUGAUGCUACAGAACAUGCAGUAGCUCCUGCCGUAGAGGAGGCAGAUCAGACCACAGAUGAAGCAGCAGCAGCAGCUCAGCUGAACUUCAGUGAUUCUCCCACUGAUGCUACAGAACCCACAGUAUCUCCUGUCGUAGACGAGGCAGAUCAGACCACAGAAGCAGCAGCAGCUCAGCUGAACUUCAGUGAUUCUCCCACUGAUGCUACAGAACCCACAGUAUCUCCUGUCGUAGACGAGGCAGAUCAGACCACAGACGCAGCAGCAGCUCAGCUGAACUUCAGUGAUUCUCCCACUGAUGCUACAGAACCUGCAGUAUCUCCUGUUGUAGAGGAGGCAGAUCAGAACACAGAAGCAGCAGCAGCUCAGCUGAACUUCAGUGAUUCUCCCACUGAUGCUACAGAACCCACAGUAUCUCCUGUCGUAGACGAGGCAGAUCAGAACACAGAUGAAGCAGCAGCUCAGCUGAACUUCAGUGAUUCUCCCACUGAUGCUACAGAACCUGCAGUAUCUCCGGUUGUAGACGAGGCAGAUCAGACCACAGAUGAAGCAGCAGCAGCAGCUCAGCUGAACUUCAGUGAUUCUCCCACUGAUGCUACAGAACCUGCAGUAUCUCCUGUCAUAGAGGAGGCCAAUCAGAACACAGAUGAAGCAGCAGCUCAGCUGAACUUCAGUGAUUCUCCUGCUGAAUGGCAGAAACCUACUGCUUCUGAAGAGACUGAGAACAUGCAGUUAAUUAAAUUUCUGGAAAAUCAGUUUAAGACUAUUAACAACACCCUAAAAUCAAUUGAUUUGUCUUUAAAGAAGCUGGUGGAAAAACAGUCACAAGACACACCGCCUCAAUAUAUCUUUCUAAUUCCUGCUGAUUUUGAAAAUCCCCAGAUUAAUUCCUUAGUCAAGGAGGAGCCAGUCACAGAAGGUGGGGUAAGUACUGAGGAAGCAGAACUGUGAUCUGAGAGGUUAUCAAUAAAUAUAUUAUAAUUAUUAUUAUUUUUUAUUAAGUUUAAAUUUAAUUAAUUUUGUUUUUAAUGUGUUUUUAAUAGCCAAGACAAUAAACACCUUUUUGAUAAUCGUUCACUGUUUUUGUCACCAGAGGUGUAAAAUACUUGAGUAAUUUUACUUGAUUACUUUUAUUUUAGGGGAUUUGUACUUUAUUCAAGUACAAUUUAAACUGUUUAUUUGUACUUUUACUUGAUUACAUUUCUGGAGAAAAAAACAGAACUUUUUACGCCUUACAAUAUUUUUUCAUCUUAAAAAGUACAUUUCAUUUUUGUUUUAACUUAUGCACAAUAAAUAUGGUAAACAGAAGUUCAAAUGUGUCUGCUUGACGUGAGAACCAAUGAUCAUUGUUUUCAUGAAUCAAGCACACACAUUUCUACUUCAUUUGUGACUUUCAUCAGAUAAAUGUCAGGCUUCAAAAGUUAAUCAAAUCUGAAGAAGCAUAUUGAGGUAGCAUCUAUCAUGUUUUGAUAGAGCCAUUAUCUGUGUAAUAUAUUGGCUGAAUGUACAAGAUUGAGUGCAAAUAAAUCAGUGAUGAGAAUUUAAAUACAAUUAAUAUUUUUGUGGGAAUGUUAUUAUGUUACAAAUCUCCAAAAAAAGUGUUUAAAUGAACAUUGCAUGUUAAAUAAAUUGUAAUUUAUGUUUAGUGAUGUUCUUACCAGGUAGUUGAUAAGUUGUAUUUAUAAUGUCAUUAUAUGACACACUGAGUAGCAAUUAUGACUGUCAAUGAAUAUUUAUUAAUCUUAAUAAUUGCAUGAUUUGCUCAUUAAUUAAUCUAAAAAAAAACAACAACCUCUAAAUGCCCCAAAUAAACAAUAAAAAGUUUAAUUUUCCUUUUAGAACAGGGGUGGGGAAUGUUGAUCCUGGAGGGCCAUGUCCUGCAGAGUUUCUCCAACCCUGAGAAAAAAAAAAAAAACCCUAUACCUGUAUCCUGAAGACCUUGAUAAGCUUGUUCAGGUGUAUUUGAUUAAGGUUGCAGCUAAACUCUGCCCUCCAGGUUAAACGUUCCCCAUCCCUGUUUUAGACAGUGGUGUUGAAUAGAAAAAAGUGGCCUUUCUUGUAUUCUGUCUGGAAUAUGUUUUAGCCUCUGUAUCACAUCUUGCUAUUCCAAGGAAUAGUUCAACCAAAAAUGAAAAUUCUCUCAUCAUUUACUCUCCCUCAUGUCGUCCCAGGUGUUUAUGACUUUCUUUGUUCAGAUGAACACAAGAAAAUAUUUUUAGUCUGUAUAAUGCAAGGGUACAGGACUAGCCUGACUUCGUCAUACUCAUAUUCUAGGCAGAAUGUGAGUCUGAUACUGCUCCAUCGCUCAUUGGCAGGUGACGUCACACUCGUGGAACACGAAAUGCAUUAUGGGUAUAGCCGCCAUUUGUAAGGUAUCAAUGCUAGUGUGUUCAAUUGGGAGGAUUGUGUUGGUCUUAAAUGUGGUAAAAUUGUACGUUCUUGUUGUGUGAUAGGCUGCAAUAGUAAGUCUCAUGACANAUAUAGGAUGGCAUGAGGGUGGAAAGGACAGUUUCCUUUUAAUCCCUUUCCCUGUAUUUGUGUGUGUUCCACUGUGCUGCAUUUUAAUUGUUGUUGUUGCACUAGAUGUAUGUGUUUGACCAUACAUCUAAGAUUGCAUUUUGUUUCAUUUUCUCCCUUUAACAAAAAUUCCUUAUAUCCGUUAGAAAAAAACUCUACUUUUUUAAUACUUGAGUAUGAUUUAAACUGGUACUUUUUUCCUUUACUCAAGUAUGGUUUUGGCCAGAUACUUGUACUUUUAAUUGAGUAAAAUUUUCACUGAGUAUCUGUACUUUCACUGAUUUUUCAGUUCUUUUUACACCUCUGUUUGUCACAUAUUAAAACAAAAUAUAUUGUGUGUGUGUGUGUGUGUGUGUGUGUGUGUGUGUGUGUGUAUUUUGUUAUGUAAAUAUUAAGUAUAAUUUUCUUUGAGGGGCUCAUUUGGUAUGUAGAUAUACUUAGAUGGCAGAUGGUCAGGUGAGUAAAUUCAACGUUUGUAUUACACCUUGAUUUUCACCUUGGGAUUGUUCACCCAAAACUGAGAAGUCAUUACUCACCCUGAAACUGUUCCAAACCUAUGUGAGUUCGUUUCUUCUGCUAAAAACAAAAGAUGAUAUUCUGAAGAAUGUUUGCACCCAAACAGGUAGCACUGUCUUUCACAGUAUUUAUUUUCAUAUUAUAGGAAAUCAAUGGCUACCAGCUACUGUUUGAUUAUCAGCAUUCUUCAAAAAUUUUCGGCAGAAGAAACUAAUUCGUACAGGUUUGAAACAACAUGAGGGUGAGUAAAUGAUACCCUUUUCUUUUUGGGUGAACUAUCCCGACUCUUUUACUGGGGCACAAUGCAUAAAUAGAAGAAAAGCAUGUAAUGAAACUUUAGUUUGUUUGAAUUAUUUAAAACAUGAAGGAUGAUUUAAAUACUAGCUGAAGCGAAAAUAUCCCUCACAUCCUUUUCAGCAUGCACCUUCUUGUGUUUCUCCGCCCACAAGGGCUGUUCGAUUCCGAAAUUUUUGGAAUCGAGUCCGAUUCUGAUUCCUGCUUCUGAAAUCGAUUCCUCACUGUCGUUUUCGAAUCUUUUCCGGUUCUUGUUUUUUUUUUUGUUUUUUUAGAUUGAAGGAACCUAAUCUCACCAUGAUUAUUGCAGGAUAGGUCGUAGAAUGUAUUCUUCUCAUAAUAUAAAGCUGUAUUUGUUUUCUUUCAGUUUAUUUUCGUUAAUUUAAAUGAGUGCAGCCUUCGUAGGAUGCAGCCUUCUGUUUGAGAGACUCCCAUAGAUAUGCUUUGUGGAACUGAAAAAGGCUCUGAAUGAGGAGUCGAUUCCCCUUGAUGGAAUCGAUUCCAACCUGUGGAAUCAACUCUCGAUUCCCAAAUGCACCGGAAUCGAUUCUUUUUGGAAUUCUCUACUUGCAGUCGGAUGACAGUUCAGAAUACGCCCCUGUAUCUGAAUAGUUUGAGGUAACUACCAAGCUGCUUAUUGCUGUUAAUGAGUAGUAUUUAAAUGUGUUUAAUUCAAGACAAUCUGUUUUCCAUUUACGCUGACUGGCGAUUUCUGUUAUCUUGUUAACUUCUAAAAGAGUGCAUGAGAUCUUUUUUUAAAUAUAGUAUCGUUUGAAGCUUGUAGUGCUGUUUUUGAAACAAAAUGCAACUACAGAAGCGUCCUGAGAGGACAAAUAUCUGGGCUACCUACAUUACGUGAAUGUUUCGAAUCUUUUUUCCAUUGUUUCACUGCAUUUCUGUUGUGUUUCUACGAUGUAAACACGUGCUACAACGUGCUACAAGUUGUUACAUUUUUAAAAACGCGCCUCGAGAACCUCCAAGGGGGCAUCAAAAUGCCUGAAAAAGGACUUAUGUUUAUUUCUUUAAAAACCAAGGUUCUCAUGGUCUUAGAAAUUCUGCAUAUAUACUAAUAGUAUAGAUCACAAAAAGACUGGAUAUGAGUGGGAACCCUGAAGAACAUUUUGCUGUUACAACUUAUGAAAUCCUAUUUUAAUUAUUUUAACUGUACGUUGUUUUAAUCUGUGGAUAGUCCUAGUUUAUUUAUUUAUUUAGAUGUUUAUGACAGAAAGGCAUCUGCAAUUUAAUAGAAUAUUGCAUGAAUUUACCUGAACUGUAUGUAUAUUCAAAUGAAUUAAUGAUAUGUAUUUUGUUUUCAUGUGUGUAAUCCAUUUUGGCUCACUCUCACAUAUUCACAGUUCAAGUGAUUAUAUUUGCAACAUUAUACUUCUACAAUACAAAGAGAACAAAAAAUCAUUAAAUAAAUUCUUAUCGUGCAACAGGAGAUGGAUGGAGAAUUAUUCACCAUUUCAGAGCAGGAUUGUGCCAGCGCAUCUGAAUCUGGCUGGAGGAAUGAGACAGGAAAAAGGAAAGGAAAACAAGGGGAGAAAAGAAAGAUGAAUCAACAAAAUAGUAGCAAGAAGAAAAUAGCCAGAAGUAAAAACUCUAGGCUUCCAGGUAAGCAUAAAAUGAUACCUAGAAUAAAUAUUUUUAACUUUGUUUCUUGAAACAGUCUGUGAUCUAGAUUGUUC
ensembl:lncRNA